rnacentral:rRNA from 1 species
UACAGAGGGUGCAAGCGUUAAUCGGAAUUACUGGGCGUAAAGCGUGCGUAGACGGUUAUGUAAGUCGGGUGUGAAAGCCCCGGGCUCAACCUGGGAAUUGCAUUCGAGAUUGCAUAGCUAGGGUGCGGAAGAGGGAAGCGGAAUUUCCGGUGUAGCGGUGAAAUGCGUAGAUAUCGGAAGGAACACCAGUGGCGAAAGCGACUUCCUGGUCCAGCACCGACGUUCAGGCACGAAAGCGUGGGGAGCAAACAGG